rnacentral:rRNA from 1 species
CAGCCGCCACGGGAAUACUGAGGGUGCGAGCGUUAAUCGGAUUUACUGGGCGUAAAGCGUGCGUAGGCGGCUUCUUAAGUCGGAUGUGAAAUCCCUGAGCUUAACUUAGGAAUUGCAUUCGAUACUGGGAAGCUAGAGUGUGGGAGAGGAUGGUAGAAUUCCAGGUGUAGCGGUGAAAUGCGUAGAGAUCUGGAGGAAUACCGAUGGCGAAGGCAGCCAUCUGGCCUAACACUGACGCUGAGGUACGAAAGCAUGGGGAGCAAACAGGAUUAGAUACCCGUGUAGUCCCUGUCUCUUAUAC